rnacentral:lncRNA from 1 species
UUUUCUCAAAUUUUGUCUCAAAACACCCCUUAGGGUUUCAAAAUAAAAAUCUCAAUAACUCAAGAUUCAACCAUGGGUUUUCAAAACAAAUAGAAGAUUUGAAAUCCCCGCAACGUAGGCUUCAAGAAGCACCUAUCACAUUCGCAUAUAGAGGUACGUGGGUUAUCUAAAAAAUCUCAUGGGCUUAAAAAUUCAUAUUUUAAAAAUGGGGGUUUUGAAAUUAUGAAUAUAAACAUGUUUCAAGCAUCUUUAUGGUAUUGAUUUGGUCUUUACGCCUAUUUCCGAAGUGAUUUGAUAUAUUAUAUAUGCAUAUUCUUGUGAUUCAAAAGAUGUUAACUUGAGAGCAUGCAUUAUAUGAAACCCCUCUCUUGAUAUGAAAUUGUUUGAAAUUUUCAUAUGAUGUGAAUUGUUUGAAAUCAUCUUGACAAGCAUGACAUGAACUAUUUUGAAAGUGGAUAUGAUUUUUGACUUGCAAGGAGAGGGUUAUUAUGUUGAAAUAUGAUGAAUAUAAUAGUUGCAUGAAAGAAUAAUGUGAUAUUGAUGACUUGCAAGUCGGGUAUGAUGAUACCCUACAGAAUAUGAUAUGUGAUUGAAUUAGAUGAAAUUUGAAUGCAUUGAUUUUACAUGAGAUAGGUGGAUGCCCGAAGAAGGCGUUUGAGUGUAAGGGCUCAUCGUUGGAAACCGUGUUUGCCGACAUGGAAACUUGGUACCAUGCUUUGUGAUCUUGCGUACCUAACUUUAUGUCAUUACCAAAAUGAGACUAUGGUUAGGAGCCCUGGUUUGUGAUCUUGUGCACUACCAUUGGGUCGUGUGAUCUUGUGUGUCUUCCCCUCACUUAUACUCUAAUCUCGGCAGUAACCGAUAUUUGACAGUUGGUGUAAAUGUGAUAUGUAGGGUAUUCCACCUAGCUCUGCUGCAUUGCGUUGUUGUUGUAAACAAUUACAUUACGCCCAUGUGUUUUCAAAUGAUUUUAUAUGAAACUACUUUAUAAUGACUUUCAACAAUAUUUUGUAAAAAUAUUAUGUUUUGUUUUGAUAUCUCUAUGUACCAGUACUUUUGUAUUGACCCCCUUCCCUCCCAGGUUUUAGAGGCACAGUCUAGGGGUCUAGAAAAUCAGUAGAUUUCCUCAGAUAGAUUCGCAGAGUCACUUGGUGAACCUUCUAUAUUUUUGAAGGCCUGAUAUCUGGCAGUUUCAUUUAUCAUUUAUUAGUUUUGGGUCUACUGUGGGCCUUGUCCCAGUUUUCAGAUAGAUAUUUAUUUUAGUCAUGUAGUAGAGAUUUCGCAGACGUAAUAGAGAUGUUGAUUGAGAUUGUGGGACAUUAUUCCCCAUUAUUGUUUUCAUAUAAUUCUUGACCAUGUUUCCGUUAUAUAGUGUAUCUUCCGCAUU